UGGCUCAGAACGAACGCUAGCGGCGUGCCUAACACAUGCAAGUCGGAUGCGAUCAUCAACGUCGGUUGGUUAGUAGCAUGGCAGACGGGUGAGGAGCACGUACCUGACCUGACACACGGAGGGGGAUAGUCCCCCGAAAGGGGGUUGAAUACCGCGUACGCUCGUCAAGGCAGCUUGAUGAGGAGAGGUGGCCUCUGCAUGCACGCUAUCGCCGUGUGAGGGGGGUGCGUCCUAUUAGCUGGCUGGUGGGGUAAUGGCCUACCAGGGCGACGAUGGGUCGCUGGUCUGAGAGGAUGAUCAGCCACACUGGGACUGAGACACGGCCCAGACUCCUACGGGAGGCAGCAGUGGGGAAUUUUGCGCAAUGGGGGGAACCCUGACGCAGCAACGCCGUGUGAGUGACGACGCCGUUCGCGGUGUAAAGCUCUGUGAGGCGGGACGAAGGCUCCGGGUGAAGAACCUGCGAGGGUGACGGUACCGCCACAGCAAGCCCCGGCUAACUCCGUGCCAGCAGCCGCGGUAAGACGGAGGGGGCGAGCGUUGUUCGGAAUUACUGGGCGUAAAGCGCCCGCAGGCGGUGACGUGAGUGUUUCGUGAAAGCCCCCGGCUCAACCGGGGACGGGCGAAGCAGACUGCGUGACUUGAGUGCUGGAGGGGGAGGCGGAAUUCCUGGUGGAGCGGUGAAAUGCGUAGAGAUCAGGAAGAACGUCAGUGGCGAAGGCGGCCUCCUGGACAGACACUGACGCUGAGGGGCGAGAGCGUGGGGAGCGAACGGGAUUAGAUACCCCGGUAGUCCACGCCGUAAACGCUGGGCACUAGGUGUGGGGGUGGAGAUCACUUCCGUGCCGGAGCUAACGCAGUAAGUGCCCCGNCUGGGGAGUACGGUCGCAAGGCUGAAACUCCAAGGAAUUGACGGGGGCCCGCACAAGCGGUGGAGCAUGUGGUUUAAUUCGAGGCAACGUGCAGAACGUCUUACUUGGGUUUUGACAUGGCACUGUGAUGCCUUGCGAUGGUCAGUUCAUUCGGUUCGUUGUCACAGGUGCUGCAUGGCUGUCGUCAGCUCGUGUCGUGAGAUGUUGGGUUAAGUCCCGCAACGAGCGCAACCGUUGCCAGUCGUUACCAGCAGGUGAGGCUGGGGACUCGAGGGGGACUGCCGGUGUCAAGCCGGAGGAAGGUGGGGAUGACGUCAAGUCCUCAUGGCCCUGACGCCCAGGGCUACACACGUGCUACAAUGGAGCGGACAACGGGGAGCGACCCUGCGAGGGGGAGCCAAUCCCUGAAACCGGUUCUGAGUGCGGAUUGGAGUCUGCAACUCGACUCCAUGAAGGUGGAAUCGCUAGUAAUCGCGGAUCAGCAUGCCGCGGUGAUACGUUCCCGGGCCUUGUACACACCGCCCGUCACACCACGAAAGUUGAGUGUACCCGAAGUCGCCGGGCCAACCCUGUAGGGGGGCAGGCGCCGAAG
rnacentral:rRNA from 1 species